rnacentral:misc_RNA from 1 species
GUAGGUGAACCUGCGGAGGGAUCAUUAACACGUUCCAAACCAACUUAUCAACCCAACUGUGAACUCUUCGUCUCUGCCUCUUGUCGUCGCCAGUGCUCACGGUGCGUGCUGAGAUCCUGGAUGAAGGUGAAGGGAAGGGCUGCUCUGUCUCUCUUUCGAGAGGGGUAGAAGUCCUCCCUUCAUACGGGUCGAGCUGCGCUUCUAUGGUGACCAUUGGUCACCAGCCGUCCUGACGAUGACGAGGCCCAAC